rnacentral:miRNA from 1 species
UUCGGAACGGAGGGAGUAGUA